rnacentral:rRNA from 1 species
UACGUAGGGUGCAAGCGUUGUCCGGAAUUAUUGGGCGUAAAGAGCUCGUAGGCGGUUCGUCGCGUCGGCUGUGAAAUCCCGAGGCUCAACCUCGGGUCUGCAGUCGAUACGGGCGGACUGGAGUUCGGCAGGGGAGACUGGAAUUCCUGGUGUAGCGGUGAAAUGCGCAGAUAUCAGGAGGAACACCGAUUGCGAAGGCAGCUCGCUGGAACGUUACUGACGCUGAGACGCGAAAGCGUGGGGAGCGAACAGG